rnacentral:rRNA from 1 species
GUGUCAGCAGCCGCGGUAAUACGGAGGUGGCGAGCGUUACUCGGAUUCAUUGGGUGUAAAGGGCAGGUAGGCGUCCCGAAAAGUUUUGGGUGAAAUCCUUUCGCUUAACGAAAGAACUGCCCAAAAAACUGUCGGGAUUGAGGCUGGAAGAGGAGAGCGGAAUUCCCGGUGUAAGGGUGAAAUCUGUAGAUAUCGGGAGGAACACCUGUGGCGAAAGCGGCUCUCUGGUCCAGCUCUGACGCUGAACUGCGAAAGCUAGGGGAGCAAACAGGAUUAGAUACCCUGGUAGUCCUAGCCGUAAACGAUGAGCACUAGGUGUCGGAGGUUAACCCUUCUGCGCCGUAAGAUAACUCGUUAAGUGCUCCACCUGGGGACUACGACCGCAAGGUUAAAACUCAAAGGAAUUGACGGGG